UGAGGAAUAUUGGUCAAUGGGCGAGAGCCUGAACCAGCCACGUCGCGUGAAGGAAGACUGACCUUACGGUUUGUAAACUUCUUUUGUAGAGGGGUAAUGGCAGAUACGUGUAUUUGCGUGAAAGUACUCUACGAAUAAGCAUCGGCUAACUCCGUGCCAGCAGCCGCGGUAAUACGGGGGAUGCGAGCGUUAUCCGGAAUUAUUGGGUUUAAAGGGUGCGCAGGUGGCUAAUCAGGUCAGUGGUGAAAAGCUAUGGCUCAACCAUGGUCUUGCCAUUGAAACCGUAUAGCUAGAGAGGAGACGAGGUAGGCGGAAUGUGUGGUGUAGCGGUGAAAUGCAUAGAUAUCACACAGAACUCCGAUUGCGAAGGCAGCUUACCAGGCUUUAUCUGACACUUAGGAACGACAGCGUGGGGAUCAAACAGG
rnacentral:rRNA from 1 species